ensembl:ncRNA lncRNA:CR43862 long non-coding RNA:CR43862
GCAAGUGUGAUAUGGGGUGCCGGGGCUUAACCCCCCAAAACAUUGCUCAAAAAUACUAUAGCCUACGUUUUAUACAACUAAUUUUUAGAUUCAAUUUUGCACAUGAAUGCCAAAAACAUUUUACCAAAAUGUCAAUAAUGGCGCUGAGAACUCUUUAAUGUCGAGCGUUGCUUCCUCCUCGGUUUUAUUUUUUAACCUCACAUCCCUGGCUCUGUUCCCGUCUCUCUUGCACCCGUUAACCCGUCUCUUUCCUGCGCGGAGAUGCUUGAAAAGUUACGACGACUUUGGCCAGAAAUACAAACCAGCAAACCGCGUUUUGAUUUGCAACCCUUGGCGGGCUAAGACGGUCGACCAGAGGAAAAACCAGAAAAGUGGGUGGAAAAUAUGGUUUAACCCCCGCCCCGUUCGCCCACUCGUGCCAUCUCGCUCUGUUCGCCCAAGCACCAAAGGGCUAAAGGACCGAAGGCCGAAGGACCUCUCUCUCUCUCUGGCAAAGCCAAAGCCAAACUAGUUUUGUGGCCGCAGCUGCCGCCGCCCUUAACCCCCGCGCGCCACCAGUGCCGGCGGAAGACCACCCCUUUAACCCACUCGGUGUCUGGCUUUUCGGGGUGGAAAGGAAAAGGAAAUGCCAAGCGAACGGGGCAAGCAAAAAAAGAAAAAAAGAAAU